GUGAGGAAUAUUGCGCAAUGGAGGCAACUCUGACGCAGCCAUGCCGCGUGCAGGAAGAAGGCGCUACGCGUUGUAAACUGCUUUUAACCGGGAAGAAACCCCAGGACGUGUCCUGGGUUGACGGUACCGGAGGAAUAAGCACCGGCUAACUUCGUGCCAGCAGCCGCGGUAAUACGAAGGGUGCAAGCGUUAUCCGGAUUCAUUGGGUUUAAAGGGUGCGUAGGCGGAGCGUUAAGUCAGUGGUGAAAUCCUGCAGCUUAACUGUAGACUUGCCAUUGAUACUGGCGCUCUUGAGUGCGCUUGAAGUAGGCGGAAUGUGCCGUGUAGCGGUGAAAUGCUUAGAUAUGGCACAGAACACCAAUUGCGAAGGCAGCUCACUAAGGCGAUACUGACGCUGAGGCACGAAAGCGUGGGGAUCGAACAGGAUUAGAUACCCCAGUAGUCC
rnacentral:rRNA from 1 species